rnacentral:rRNA from 1 species
CAGUCGCCACGGGAAUACGAAGGGGGCUAGCGUUGUUCGGAAUUACUGGGCGUAAAGCGCACGUAGGCGGAUAUUUAAGUCAGGGGUGAAAUCCCGCAGCUCAACUGCGGAACUGCCUUUGAUACUGGGUAUCUUGAGUAUGGAAGAGGUUAGUGGAAUUGCGAGUGUAGAGGUGAAAUUCGUAGAUAUUCGCAGGAACACCAGUGGCGAAGGCGGCUAACUGGUCCAUAACUGACGCUGAGGUGCGAAAGCGUGGGGAGCAAACAGGAUUAGAUACCCCCGUAGUCCCUGUCUCUUAUAC